AUUGAACGCUGGCGGCAGGCCUAACACAUGCAAGUCGAGCGGUUGAAGGCUGCUUGCUCCAGGCUUCAGCGGCGGACGGGUGUGUAAUGCCUAGGAAUCUGCCUGGUCGUGGGGGAUAACGUCCGGAAACGGGCGCUAAUACCGCAUACUUCCUGUGGGACAAAGUGGGGGAUCUUCGGACCUCACGCUUUCAGAUGAGCCUAGGUCGGAUUAGCUAGUUGGUGGGGUAAAGGCCUACCAAGGCGACGAUCGGUAACUGGUCUGAGAGGAUGAUCAGUCACAGUGGGACUGAGACGCGAUCCAGGGUCCUACGGGAGGCAGCAGUGCGGAAGAGUGGACGAUGGGCGGAAGCCUGAUCCAGCCAUGCCGGGUGUGUGAAGAAGGUCUUCGGAUUGGAAGGCACUUUAAGUUGGGAGGAAGGGCAGUAAGUUAAUACCUUGCUGUUUUGACGUUACCAGCAGAAGAAGCACCGGCUAACUUCGUG
rnacentral:rRNA from 1 species